UCUUGGGAGUCCUGGAGGAGCAGUGUGUGCUGCUGUUGCACAGGAAUAAAACUACAGGCCUAGGAACAGUGAAAAACCAAGACACAGAAAUAAGGACAGUACCUGCAAUAGCUUGCAAUUAAUGUGGCAACAAUUCUUGGACUACAAAAGAGAAUGCCCAUAGAGGAAAGCCAAACAGAGAGCUCAGAAAACAAAACCACAGAUGCUAAAGAAAACAGAAUAAUUUCUUGCUAAGAAUAGUAGGAAGAACAGCUUUAUAUGCACCAUACUUCCAUAUCUCCCAGUCUCAGUGGAAUAAAAACCCACGCCAAAACCUGUCCUCAGUUAAUAGCCUUUUGGAGAAUGGCACAUUCACCUCUUUCAUUCACUUCUUCAUCCCAGGCUGCCAUCAGGCAAGAAGCCAUUCUAAACAAGACAUCUAGCUGAGCUGAACUAAGCUGUAAAAAGUAUUAAGAAGCGUGAAUCUGCAAGUGCCAUUGAAUACCAGUGAUGUCAGCAGUUAAGUCUGUGCCUGCAGAAAAAAAACCAGCCAACCAACCACAAAGUUCACAGAGCUACUCAAGCCUGUAUAUUUAGGAAGAAGCAGAGAUAUGGUGAAGCAAACUCUAUUCAAAAUAAAGAAGCAUCAAACACUCA